rnacentral:rRNA from 1 species
AGCGAACGCUGGCGGCAGGCCUAACACAUGCAAGUCGAACGAAGUCUUCGGACUUAGUGGCGGACGGGUGAGUAACACGUGGGAACGUGCCUUUAGGUUCGGAAUAACUAAGGGAAACUUGUGCUAAUACCGAAUGUGCCCUUCGGGGGAAAGAUUUAUCGCCUUUAGAGCGGCCCGCGUCUGAUUAGCUAGUUGGUGAGGUAAAGGCUCACCAAGGCGACGAUCAGUAGCUGGUCUGAGAGGAUGAUCAGCCACAUUGGGACUGAGACACGGCCCAAACUCCCACGGGAGGCAGCAGUGGGGAAUCUUGCGCAAUGGGCGAAAGCCUGACGCAGCCAUGCCGCGUGAAUGAUGAAGGUCUUAGGACUGUAAAAUUCUUUCACCGGGGACGAUAAUGACGGUACCCGGAGAAGAAGCCCCGGCUAACUUCGUGCCAGCCGCCGCCGUAACAC